GACGAACGCUGGCGGCGUGCUUAACACAUGCAAGUCGAACGAAGUGGCGAACGGGUGAGUAACGCGUAAUCAACCUGCCAUUCAGAGGGGAACAACAGUUGGAAACGACUGCUAAUACCGCAUAAUGAAGAAGGGGAUUGCGUCUGAUUAGCUAGUUGGAGGGGUAACGGCCCACUAAGGCUAUACUCAGGAGCCGGUCGGAGAGGAUGAACGGCCACAUUGGGACUGAGACACGGCCCAGACUCCUCCGGGAGGCAGCAGGUGGGAAUCUUCCGCAAUGGACGAAAGUCUGACGGAGCAAAGCCGCGUGAGUGAUGACGGCCUUCGGGUUGUAAAGCUCUGUUAAUCGGGACGCGGUACCGGAAUAGAAAGCCACGGCGAACUACGUGCCAGCAGCCGCGGUAAUAC
rnacentral:rRNA from 1 species